rnacentral:tRNA from 1 species
UAGCUUAGCGGCAUAGCACCUGCCUGACAAGCACGAGGUUCUGAGUUUGAUUCCCAG